rnacentral:lncRNA from 1 species
CCAUUAUUAUAUUACCAUUAUGUUCUUUACUUUUUUUGUUUAAGUGGAGGCUCGCACAAAUGAAAAAACACCUUUUUCUUUAGUAGUAGCAUGUAGCAAAAAGUUCUCCUUUUUCUUUUUCCAUGAUCCAUAUUUUUUCAUUUUUAUAUAUGGCCAUGUAAUUUACUAUUUAUUAGUUAUAUAAGGCCUGAAUUCUUUGGUU